rnacentral:lncRNA from 1 species
AAUGAAAAAAAAUACAAAUUAUCAAUGAAAUAAGAAGGUGGUUUUUUGAAAUGUGAAACAAUAUUGAUGAACCUUUAACCAGACUAAGAAAAAAAGAGAAAAUGGAGGGAGGAGCCAAGAUGGCCAAAUAGGAACAGCUCCUGUCUACAGCUCCCAGCGUGACCGACGCGGAAGACCGGUGAUUUCUGCAUUUCCAUCUGAGAUUCUGACCUUCAAGAAGUCUGCCUCUUUGAUAGAUCUUCUCUGUCUGGCUUUACUGGGGUCACCUUCCUUACAUGCAGCUCAAAUUUUGGCUCAGGAGAAGAGAUAAAUAAAUAAGAGGACGUGGGUGAAGAAAGAGACCCUGGAUGAGCGAGUGAUCAUCUCAACCCCUUCAACCUUAAAAGAAAUGUGGUUAAAUAAAUCUUUCAUGACUCUCU